GAAAUUCUCGGCAGACAGUGGCAGGUCCCUGGCAAAACCCACCUUCAAGCCGUAAAGCCUGGAAUCCACAGUCCAAAGUGAGAACUUCCAACCCUGUGUGCCCACUCUUUCCCAAUUGGUUCUUUCUGAAUGUCUUUUUACCGGUUAAAUGUUGCCUUUUCCAAAACCACCUAUGGCCUGCCCUGCCCCCCAUACUGUGCCUAUAAAGAACCCAGACUCAGCUGGCAGAGGGGAGAAGCAGCUGGACAUUGGGGCGAGGUGACUUUGAGAUAGCAGCUGAAUGAAGCAACUUGACUUCGGAAGAAAGAGGCAGAGAGGUGGCUUGACUUCAGGGGAGAGUGACCUGCCCUUCCCAUUCCCUUUCCAGCUCCCCUCUCCACUGAGGGCUGAUUUCAUCACUCAACAAAAUUCUCCGAAUUCACCAUCCUUCAGUUCAUCCACAUGACCUCAUUCCUCUUGGGCACCGGACAAGAAUUUGGGAUGCACCAAAUGCAGGGGUACAAGCAAUUUUCCAGUCUUGACCCUUUAUCUGUUGACCAAGCUAAGGCAGAAACCAGCUAAAUUCUGGAUUUAAUCUUGAGCAGCAAAAAAGAUCAGCUUUUGAAGUGGAUCUGCUUUUAUUCUUGGCAAAAGUUCAGCGGAGACCAACCAGAGUGGUGACAAAGUUCUUCAACAUCAAGCCAAAUGUAAUACAAGGAAUUACGGAUAGUGCUUAAUCUAAAAUAAAGAAAUUCCACAUCUCCCUAAAAAGUUAUUGGCUUCAAGAAUGAAAACAAAAGAAGCAUAUUUGUCUCAAUCCAAACACAGACACCAGAAAGACAAACCAGGAGUAUACAGCAAAGUAGCUUGCAGGAUAAUACAUUGAAAAAUGUAAUUGUGCAUAAAUCAUGCACAAAGUAGAAACCACAAAUUCUGUAUUUGGCAAGGCUUCGGUUCCUUUGCAUAAUUCUUUCAUUUUCAUCUUGCUGCUUCCAUUCUCUUUUCAUCAAAAAAAGCUACAUAAAACAAAGACAUAAACUGUAUGCAAUUAAAAUGAGAAAAUAGCUGAAAGGAAUGUAUUGAUAAUUAUGUUAAAAUCUAUACCAUAAGUAUUCUUGCAUUGUUAAGCAUCUAAUUUUUCAUGUGUUGACAUCAGCAUCUCAGUUCUCUCUAACAUCUGAAAGCUUUUUUUUUUAAGGCAACUUCUUUUAGAGUGAACAAACUUAUGUACCACCGAGUUGACAAAAGUAUAACUAUAUCCUACAGAAAGAGACCUCAAGUAAACCUCCAGCAGCCAUCUGGACUUCCAUGAAAACAGAACAAUCAGUGAGAUGCAGAGCUUGGAGGAGACAGUUUCCAUAGACUGAAGCACGUGCUGAAGCAAAGUUCACACUUGCAGGAUUAGAAGAGGUUGACCGAAAGAAGGAAGGACAUGGACAGCUAUGUUGUUGUGGAGUCCUGUUUUAUAGUCAUAACCUUGAGUCAAGUGAGUUUGUCUGGACAGACAGAGCUUGUUGCCUUUACUUAUAGGGAAGGCACCGGACACAGACAGCCUCAAGGACAUUUGUUCUAGCCUUUCAGUAUCCUUUCUCUUAAUUAUCUCACCUCAUCCAUGAAGCUGGUAUGUACGAUUUUUCCUUUCUUUCUCAAUCCUUUAAAAAAUUAAAGCUCUAAAUCUCAUUUCCACUUAGAUUUUAAUGUUGCAUUGUAACUUAAGAUAAAACCUUGCUCUGAUGUUAAAAAUACUAAAGUAAGAAGCAAUAUGGCAUAGUGCUUAUGAGCAGGACUACAUAGUUCUUUCUGAAUACAAAUCUCAGAUAAAACACUAUCUCAGUGAUCAACCAGGUUAAGCAACCUUUUUAGUGCCUCAAUUAUUCCAUUUGUAAAAUUGUAAUAAUGAUAGUACUAACCUAUAAGAUUGUGGUGAGGAUUAAGUCAGAUAAUACAAAAGAAGCAUUUAGAGUAUUUCCUGGCAUUAUCUACCAUUUAUUGAAUUUUUAUGGUUAAGAAGAAUAAGGAAAAGCAGAAGAAAAGGAAAAGAGAAAAAAUACAUAAGAAGAAGGAAGAGUGGUAAGCUCUAGUAAAUUACAACAAACGGUAACGUAGAAAACAUUUGUUAGCCCUUAAUAUAGGCCAGGCACUGUGUUCAAUGCUUAAACCUCAUUACUGUUCUUUGAAGUGGAUAACAUUAUUCCUUCCAUUUUAAAGAAAGGAAUACUAAAGACAACUUUGUCAAUAUUAUUCAUGUAAUAAAUGACAGAAUUUGACCAAGACAAUAGAGAAUGAACUCUUAAUCACUAUAUUGUUUUAUUUUUUGAAAAUAGAUUUUAAGUUCUUAUUAAAUG
rnacentral:lncRNA from 1 species